rnacentral:miRNA from 2 species
CUAGCACCAUUUGAAAUCGGUU